GUGCUUGCUUUGGCAGCACAUAUACUAAAAUUGGAAUGAUAGAGAUUAGCAUGAUCUCUGUGCAAGGAUGACACACAAAUUCGUGAAGUAUUCCAUGUUUUU